rnacentral:rRNA from 1 species
UACGUAGGGUCCGAGCGUUGUCCGGAAUUAUUGGGCGUAAAGAGCUCGUAGGCGGUUUGUCGCGUCUGCUGUGAAAUCCCGAGGCUCAACCUCGGGUCUGCAGUGGGUACGGGCAGACUGGAGUGCGGUAGGGGAGAAUGGAAUUCCUGGUGUAGCGGUGGAAUGCGCAGAUAUCAGGAGGAACACCGAUGGCGAAGGCAGUUCUCUGGGCCACUACUGACGCUGAGAAGCGAAAGCAUGGGGAGCGAACAGG